ACUUUUCUGUAGGAACAGAUCCAGCAAGUGGCUUGAUGACCCCCCCGCCCCCCUUGACGGUGGACUGGACGCUUGCAUGGACUCUUAUUGCUUGAUGUUUCUGUU